rnacentral:rRNA from 1 species
UACGAAGGGGGGCUAGCGUUGCUCGGAAUUACUGGGCGUAAAGGGCGCGUAGGCGGACAGUUUAGUCAGAGGUGAAAGCCCAGGGCUCAACCUUGGAAUUGCCUUUGAUACUGGCUGUCUUGAGUACGGGAGAGGUGAGUGGAACUCCGAGUGUAGAGGUGAAAUUCGUAGAUAUCGAGAGGAACACCGGCGGCGAAGGCGGCCAACUGGACGAAUACUGACGCUGAGACUCGAAAGCGUGGGGGAGCAAACAGG